AAGUUCCAGCUUCCUGAGACCUCCCAUCAGCUGCUUCCCCUGUACUCUGGGGGGGGGGGAGAAGCUAAAGCUUGAAUCACUUCUGCUCCCACUUUAACUCUACCCUCAAAAAUGAACAAGACGGGAACCUAAGUGGUUACCCUAGAGAGACCCCAGGCUCCAAGCUGACCAGCCACGAGGAGCAGGGAGUGAGGGAAAAAAAAAAAAAACUUCCAAGCUUUUCAUGAGGCGUUUGGACAAAUCGCAAACUCCCAGCCCUCUCUAGGAGCAGCUGAAGAGGAAUGUCGUGCCGUCGGAAAGGAGCCUAGAGCUGUGAUUUGGGGACCGGAUUGUGUCCUCACUAACUACUCACCCCCUCCAAAAUAUCGUAGAAAGUGGACAGGCCCAGUUGGAAGCAUAUCACGAAGCCCGUAGGGGAAGCCAUGUCGGAUAAAGGUAAACAAAGCUAUCGUCCACUCCUUCCAUUACACCAUCCUGCCAGCUGAACCAUCUGACUCAACUCAGACCACGAGACAAUAUUAGCCACAGUCUUCUCACCUGGUCUCCUGUCCCUUUCGACACAGCCACCGUUCAGAGCUGGAAACCUCCUUUUUAUUAAGUCUGCACCAUUCUCACCACCUCCCACCUCAACCAAAGUUUUAAGUCCUUUUUCAAUAGACUGAAUGUUGAUGUAAGUAGGGAAGAAAGCCCAUAGAGGUUCCUGGCUCUUCUGCUGUAAACUGGAGGUCUCAGCUGAGAAAAAAGUUUUCAAUAAAUGCUUUCAUGCUCAGAUCACUGUAA